CAUUAGAUGACUGAAAGCAAGUGUUGGUCUCUUAAACCAAAUCAUAGUAAAUUAGCAACUACUUCUAAUGA
rnacentral:tRNA from 2 species